AGUCGUUACUCAGUGGUUAAGAUGUUGGAUUGCUGAUCGGAAGGUCAUGAGUUCAAAUCCCAGCAGUGGCUG